rnacentral:rRNA from 1 species
AAUCAACGCUGGCGGCGUGCCUCAGACAUGCAAGUCGAACGCGAAAUUUCCCUUCGGGGAGAAAGUAGAGUGGCGCACGGGUGAGUAACACGUAGGUAAUUUGCCUUUGGGUGGGGAAUAACUCAGGGAAACUUGAGCUAAUACCGCAUAAUGCAGCGGCUCGACAUCGAGACAGUUGUUAAAGCGGGGGAUCGCAAGACCUCGCGCCUAAAGAGAAGCCUGCGGCAGAUAGCUAGUUGGUAGGGUAAUGGCCUACCAAGGCAACGAUCUGUAACCGGCCUGAGAGGGCGGUCGGUCACACUGACACUGACAUACGGGUCAG